UACGAAGGGGGGCUAGCGUUGCUCGGAAUCACUGGGCGUAAAGCGCACGUAGGCGGAUCGUUAAGUCGGGGGUGAAAUCCUGGAGCUCAACUCCAGAACUGCCUCCGAUACUGGCGAUCUUGGAGUCCGGGAGAGGUGAGUGGAACUCCGAGUGUAGAGGUGAAAUUCGUAGAUAUUCGGAAGAACACCAGUGGCGAAAGCGGCGACCUGGCCUGACAUUGACGCUCAUGCUCGAGAGCGUGGGGAGCAAACAGG
rnacentral:rRNA from 1 species